GACGAACGCUGGCGGCGUGCUUAACACAUGCAAGUCGAACGGAAAGGCCCUGCUUGCAGGGUACUCGAGUGGCGAACGGGUGAGUAACACGUGGGUGAUCUGCCCUGCACUUCGGGAUAAGCCUGGGAAACUGGGUCUAAUACCGGAUAGGAGCCAUUUUUAGUGUGAUGGUUGGAAAGUUUUUUCGGUGUAGGAUGAGCUCGCGGCCUAUCAGCUUGUUGGUGGGGUAAUGGCCUACCAAGGCGGCGACGGGUAGCCGGCCUGAGAGGGUGGACGGCCACAUUGGGACUGAGAUACGGCCCAGACUCCUACGGGAGGCAGCAGGGGGGAAAAUUGCACAAUGGGCGCAAGCCGGAUGCAGCGACGCCGCGUGGGGGAUGACGGCCUUCGGGUUGUAAACUCCUUUCGCUAGGGACGAAGCUUUUUGUGACGGUACCUAGAUAAGAAGCACCGGCUAACUACGUG
rnacentral:rRNA from 1 species